rnacentral:rRNA from 1 species
GACAGAGGGUGCAAACGUUGCUCGGAAUUACUGGGCGUAAAGCGCGUGUAGGCGGGCCCCCAAGUCGGACGUGAAAGCCCCGAGCUCAACUCGGGAACUGCAUCCGAAACUGAGGGCCUGGAGUAGUGGAGAGGGAAGCAGAAUUCCUGGUGUAGAGGUGAAAUUCGUAGAUAUCGUGAGGAACACCAGAGGCGAAGGCGGCUACCUGGACAAUUGCUGACGCUCAGGCACGAAAGCGUGGGGAGCAAAAGGG